rnacentral:tRNA from 1 species
GUCCUCGUAGCUUAAAACAAAGCAUGACACUGAAGAUGUCAAGAUGGAUGCCACACACACCCGAGGACA